AGCAGCCGCGGUAAUUCCAGCUCCAAUAGCGUAUAUUAAAGUUGUUGCAGUUAAAAAGCUCGUAAUUGAAUUUCGGGGUUAGUAGGUUGGUCAUGCCCCUGGUAUGUACUGGUCUCACUGAUUCCUCCUUCCUGAUGAACCUUAAUGCCAUUAAUUUGGUGUUUUGGGGAAUUUGGACUGUUACUUUGAAAAAUUAGAGUGUUUAAAGCAAGCUAACGCUUGAAUACAUUAGCAUGGAAUAAUGAAAUAGGACGUUCGAUCCUAUUUUGUUGGUUUCUAGGAUUGACGUAAUGAUUAAUAGGGAUAGUUGGGGGCAUUAGUAUUCAAUUGUCAGAGGUGAAAUUCUUGGAUUUAUUGAAGACUAACUACUGCGAAAGCAUUUGCCAAGGAUGUUUUCAUUAAUCAAGAACGAAAGUUAGGGGAUCGAAGACGAUCAGAUACCGUCGUAGUCUUAACCAUAAACUAUGCCGACUAGGGAUCGAAUGAUGUUAAUUUUUAAUGUACU
rnacentral:rRNA from 1 species